rnacentral:rRNA from 1 species
GAUGAACGCUAGCGGUAUGCCUAACACAUGCAAGUCGAGGGGCAGCACAAGGUCGCUUGCUUUCGGGGUGGUGACGGGCGCACGGGUGCGGAACGCGUAUGCUACUUGCUAUAUACGGGAGAAUAACCCGACGGAAGACGAACUCAUCAUGCGUAUGCUCACAACUUGGCAUCUAGUGGAGAGGUACGAUAUUCGGUAUAGGAUAGGCAUGCGUGCCAUUUGCUUGUGGUUGAGGUAACGGCUCACCAAGGCAACGAUGGGUACGGGAACUGAGAGGUGGUUCCCCCACACUGGUACUGAGACACGGACCCGACGCCUACGGGCGGCAGGAGUGAGGAGUAGUGGUCAAGGGGCCCGAGCGUGAACCAGCCAAGUCGCGUGAAGGAUGACUGUCUUAUGGAUUGUAAUCGUCUUUUAUAAGGGAAUAUCAAGAGGCACGGGUGACUCCCUGCCGGUACCGUAUGAAUAAGCAACGGCUAACUACGUG